rnacentral:rRNA from 1 species
UACAGAGGUCUCAAGCGUUGUUCGGAUUCAUUGGGCGUAAAGGGUGCGUAGGUGGCGCCGUAAGUCGGGUGUGAAAUUUCGGAGCUUAACUCCGAAACUGCAUUCGAUACUGCCUGGCUCGAGUACUGGAGAGGAGAUUGGAAUUUACGGUGUAGCAGUGAAAUGCGUAGAUAUCGUAAGGAAGACCAGUGGCGAAGGCGAAUCUCUGGACAGUUACUGACACUGAGGCACGAAGGCCAGGGGAGCAAACAGG